GACGAACGCUGGCGGCGUGCCUAACACAUGCAAGUCGAACGGAGUAUUCAGCAAUGGAAUCUUAGUGGCGAACGGGUGAGUAACGCGUAGACAACCUACCUUCUAGACGGGGACAACACUGCGAAAGUGGUGCUAAUACCGAAUGUUGUAUUUUGAACGCCUGUUUAAGAUACUAAAGGUGGCCUCUAUUUAUAAGCUACCACUAGAAGAUGGGUCUGCGUCUGAUUAGCUAGUUGGUGAGGUAAUGGCUCACCAAGGCAACGAUCAGUAGCCGGUCUGAGAGGAUGAACGGCCACACUGGGACUGAGACACGGCCCAGACUCCUACGGGAGGCAGCAGUGGGGAAUCUUCCGCAAUGGACGAAAGUCUGACGGAGCAACGCCGCGUGAGUGAAGAAGGUUUUCGGAUCGUAAAACUCUGUUUUCAGGGACGAAUGUGCAAUAUGUAAAUAAUGUAUUGUAAUGACGGUACCUGACAAGAAAGCCACGGCUAACUACGUGCCAGCCGCCGCCGUAAGAC
rnacentral:rRNA from 1 species